ensembl:snoRNA
ACAGACUGAAAAUGACCCCAGAUGUUUCAGUGGUCUGGGGUCAGAUAACUGUGCCUACAGUACUGUGGUGCGUUAAGCUUAUUGCGUGUCUCUCUCUGUGGCUGCGUGAUAAAACCCAUGUACCAACAUAC